UAACGCUUAAAUGAUUAAGAAGUUUUGAUAUUAGUUAUAUUAAUUAAGAUAAUUAAAUAGGUGAAUAGUUUGCGACUUCAUCAUGAAAUACAGAAGCAUUUUCAGCAUACCAUUUAACGGUGAAAUUGGAAAACCGGUACAUUUGAUAAUAUUUAUUCCAUGGCUUAUUAUUGUCCUCGCAAGAAUUGGAUGAAUGGCUUCUGGCAACCAUGAAAGGUUUUAGCUCCUGUUCGCCACUGAACUAUCACACGGACCGACCGCGUAGAGGCCUUCCAACUGAGCUUCUGGGGUGAAACGGCGACGCAGAACAGAGGCACACCAAACCAACAGUGACGGGUACAGCAAGGAGGUCAACCGGUACUGCGUCGAGGAACUGCGGCGACCUGCCAGUGUGGGUCGAUAGAUCAGCUCCGAGCGCCAACUCCGGGAGCUUUUACGGCACAUCAUGUACGGCCUAAUUCAGGCGUGCCUGCGAUCCUGGGUGAUACAAGAUCUCGGACCCGGCGUCUGGGCCAAAGUUCUAGCCGAGUGUCCAGAUAUAUCAGAGGACGCCGACUUUCUGCACUACAAGAUUUACGCCGACAGCGUCCUGUUC